GGACAAAAACGUGACCGACAAGACGGAGAAAGAUGGUGAGAACUU
rnacentral:sRNA from 1 species